UCCCUGCACCACCCGCACUGGGAGAGCAUUCCGGCCACAGGCCCAGCCAGCAACAGAAGUUGGACCAUCACUGGACUCCAGUGGACGUCCCUUCUGCUCCAGCUGCCCACAAUAACAAAAGCCAGGACACCAGACCUCAUGCUGCGCCAGCACCAGGCAGAAGGAGCAUCACCUAGGGAUAAGGAGUUGCUGUUGACCAAGAUGGCCUCAAGGCCCUCUGGCUCAGCGUCACCCAGAAACCCUGUGAGGAGGCAAGGCCCAGGCCCCACCCAGAGAAUUUACCUCCACGGGACCAUGGACUACGAGAAGCUGACCUGCAUUUCUAACCACACCCAGGAAGACUGCCAAGAUGCCGGUUCCUCCAUCCCCUCAGGAUCCACUCACACCUCUCAGAGCUUCCAGGAUUUUCUCUGCCCUGACAACUCCCUCUGCCCAGAUCCUCUCCUCAGCCCCAGGUAACUUCUCCCUUGCCCACUUGAUAUGUUCUCUAGUUGUUCCAAGGUUACCUUUAUCCGAUUCCACAAGUCAGAGGCUAAACUCAUUUCUUCCACCCAGACCUGCUUCUCCCCCUUCUCCUGUGGCCCCAGCUCACAUUUCCAGUCCAGAAAUCUGACACUAGCCCCUUGUCCCCGCAUCCCAUCCGAGAGUCAGUCCCUUGGUUCUGCCUCCAGAUUCUUUUUUUUUUUUUUUAAUCUAAUGCAACCCCAUUUCUUCUUCUUCCCCAUUGCCGCCCUAGUCCAAGCUGCCAUCUUGUCUCCGCCAUCUUCCAUGUUCACGGUCUCUUUAUCAUUCUCUCUCCCUCCCUCCCACUUUGCUCCCUCGGAUGCAACCUCCUCAUUCUCAUUUCCCACUUAAAGCACGGCUUACCAUUAAUCUUAGGAUGAAUUCCCUGCCCCGAUGUCCAGCCUCACCUCUCAUCCAAAAUGGUACGCCCUACCUUCCCCUUGACCUGACUAAUUCCUUGAUAAGAGCGCAGACUCAGCCCGACUGCCGGCUUUGAAUGCUGCCCUUUCCACUUACAAGCUGUGUGACCUUGGGCCUGUUUGUCAAAGUUUCUGUGCUCAGCUUCCUUAUCUCUAAAAUAGGGACAAUAAUAGUAUUGUAGUUGGGGGGGGAUUAAAUGAGUUAAAUAUGUCAAGCCCUCAGGAUUGUCUGUGUCCAGGAUGACCGGCAUAUACAAGUGUUUAAGUGUUAAUUGUGAUCUUUUAGAUUUCAGGCUAAAUUUCCUUUCUUCUUGGGGCUUUCCCUACACCCGUAAUCCGGACCUGGUCUACAUGCCACAUCCCCUCUUCAUCCCCUUAGCUACUUGUCCCCUGCCCAUCCCUCCCCCUAGAGUACAAGCUCUGUGUGGGCGGAUCCUCGUUUGUCUCACACGGCUGAGCCCCAUGGCUCUGCUCAGCCCAAGGCACAGCAUAGGCAAUUCACACACAUUGGCGAACAAAGCAGAGGAAAUGAAAUUCAGCAGAUAUAGCACCAGAUACAUACUGUCCACCUACAAAAUGCUCAUCAAUGGUACUUUAUUCAUUUAUUUAUUUGACUUUUUUUUUUAAGAGGUAGAGGGAAGUGGGGAGGGAGGAGUGUAGAAAAGGAGCAAAGGGAGAGGGAGAGAAUCUCAAGCAGACUCCGGGAGCCAGAGGCAGGACUUGCUGUCAGCACCUUGAGAUAAAGACCUGAGCAGAAAUCAAGAGUCAGAUGCCUAACCGCUUAAUCAACUGAGCCACGCAGGCGCCUCUAUUUGACAUUUUUUUAGUACCUCUCCUGCAGUCUUCCUCAUCCCAUUCUUAGGGGGGAGGACAAGCAGAGGGAUAUAGAGAUGAACAAGACAGAGGUGGCUCCUGCCCAGGAGGAAUGCACAGUCCACUGCAGAGAGGACAUGUCAAUACAAUAGUCAUGUGUUCUUACAGGAGCCUGUAACAAUUUUGUUCCCCUCCCCCCACCAGAGCUCUUUGAAACAACAAAAAGUGAAAAGUAACUAAAAACAGACACAGUUGCUGAUUGUAGCCAACAUCCCAGUUCGGAGCAGGGCUGUCUUCAGAGUGGGAAGGGUAGGUAGGUCAUGUCCUAAGGGCAUUCAGGCCUCCCCUCCUCUUCCUCUGUCCAGAGAGGUCUUACUCUGCCUUCAAGGCUCCUCUUAAGCAGCAGCUCCCCCAGGAAGUCUUCCUGUUCCUGCACGGGUUCUUCACCGGCCCCCAUGAUGGCUUUAGUGAUUUUCUAGGACUGUAGUGGGAUUUGUCAAAGACAAUCCAAAUUCCAUGUCAUUUGCUUCUUUAAAAAAAUAAAAGGUGAUUCAAUGAA